rnacentral:rRNA from 1 species
UACGUAGGAGGCUAGCGUUGUCCGGAAUCAUUGGGCGUAAAGCGCGUGUAGGCGGUCCGGUAAGUCCGCUGUGAAAGUCGGGGGCUCAACCCUCGGAUGCCGGUGGAUACUGUCGGGCUUGAGUACGGAAGAGGCGAGUGGAAUUCCUGGUGUAGCGGUGAAAUGCGCAGAUAUCAGGAGGAACACCAAUGGCGAAGGCAGCUCGCUGGGACGGUACUGACGCUGAGACGCGAAAGCGUGGGGAGCAAACAGG